rnacentral:rRNA from 1 species
UACGUAGGGUGCAAGCGUUUAAUCGGAAUUACUGGGCGUAAAGCGUGCGCAGGCGGUUGUGCAAGACAGAGGUGAAAUCCCCGGGCUUAACCUGGGAAUGGCAUUUGGGACUGCAAGGCUCGAGUGCGGCAGAGGAGACUGGAAUUCCUGGUGUAGCAGUGAAAUGCGCAGAUAUCAGGAGGAACACCGGUGGCGAAGGCGGCGUUCUGGACUGUAUCUGACACUGAGGAACGAAAGCCAGGGGAGCAAACGGG